CAGCCGCCGCGGGAACACGAAGGGGGCUAGCGUUGUUCGGAAUUACUGGGCGUAAAGCGUGCGUAGGCGGUUUGUUAAGUCUGUUGUGAAAUCCCCGGGCUCAACCUGGGAAUGGCAGUGGAUACUGGCUCGCUAGAGUGUGUCAGAGGAUGGUGGAAUUCCCGGUGUAGCGGUGAAAUGCGUAGAGAUCGGGAGGAACAUCAGUGGCGAAGGCGGCCAUCUGGGACAACACUGACGCUGAGGCACGAAAGCGUGGGGAGCAAACAGGAUUAGAUACCCGCGUAGUCCCUGUCUCUUAUAC
rnacentral:rRNA from 1 species